rnacentral:rRNA from 1 species
CCUACGGGAGGCAGCAGUGAGGAAUAUUGGUCAAUGGACGAGAGUCUGAACCAGCCAAGUAGCGUGAAGGAUGACUGCCCUAUGGGUUGUAAACUUCUUUUAUAUGGGAAUAAAAUGUUCCACGUGUGGGAUUUUGUAUGUACCAUAUGAAUAAGGAUCGGCUAACUCCGUGCCAGCAGCCGCGGUAAUACGGAGGGUCCGAGCGUUAUCCGGAUUUAUUGGGUUUAAAGGGAGCGUAGGUGGACUGUUAAGUCAGUUGUGAAAGUUUGCGGCUCAACCGUAAAAUUGCAGUUGAAACUGGCAGGCUUGAGUACAGUAGAGGUGGGCGGAAUUCGUGGUGUAGCGGUGAAAUGCUUAGAUAUCACGAAGAACUCCGAUUGCGAAGGCAGCUCACUGGACUGCAACUGACACUGAGGCUCGAAAGUGUGGGUAUCAAACAGGAUUAGAUACCCUGGUAGUC